GCCACGUAUAAAUGUGUCUUACCGAGGAAAGGUAUGAUAUUUGUUCAUUUAUUCUUAAUCAUUUCCCCCACCCCAUGAGGUUCUGAACAAUUGCACCAUCUACCUGUGUGAGCAGCUUUCUGUGCUUCUGCGCUACCAGGGAUCCUUAAGCCCAGCAGGCCGGCUGCUCAUCAGAGGCAGCUUUCUUGGACCAUACCUGGUCCUUGGAAAACAGAAUCUAAGACUGAUGCAGGUGCAGGGAGUUUAUUGGAGAGCACUCGAGUUCAGCAUUCAGGGGGAAUGAAGGAAGGUGAACCACAGCACACCUGAGACCAAGGCCUCAGCCUGUUCCAAUGCCUUUAGCGUCUUUAACUGACCAAUCAUCGGAUGGGUGAAUAGGGUGGUGAUCUCUGGGCGAAGGGGUGAUCUUCAGGGCAGGGCAAUUACUGGAAAUGGAUACAACUGAGAACUGUUGGUCAUUAACACACCCGAUAAAUAGGGGAGCUAGGGCUUUGGUCCCAGCCCGGGAUCUGCGCUGGUGUCUCGCACGUUCCAGCGGUCGGUCGGUGGAAGUGGAGCGUAAUGUUGGGUAAUACCCGAAAAAAUACAUAAAUCGCAAGACCACCCUGUAAGACAUCUCUCAGAGAACUGAAGUCCUUUUUGAAAAUUUCCUCUGCACUCAAGUAUUCCUGAAGUCUCCAUGGGGGAAUCCUCCAGUCUGUUGAUUCUAGUCUUCUGGCUAGUGUCAUUUCUGCAACUCCCUGCUGAUGUAGGACGAAAAAGGAUCUAGGAUCCCCGAUAAUGAAGACCCUUUGGGAAAGAAAGAAAACUCCUAUUCAAAAUCCCCUUUCUACAUGUUUCUGACCUUGUUUUGAUCUUAAAACUUUUCCAAAAACAAAAAGGAAACAAGAUAAAGUUUCUUUCCCAGAACUUCAAGACACAUUUAAAGUUAUAAUGGGAACUUUGAAAUCUAUGUCUAACUGUCAUCAGUAAUUAGAACUACAUGAAUUUUUUUGUUUUGUUUUGUUUUUUGUUUUUGUUUAGUAGGUUUGCGAGAUGUCCGUUUCUGGGGGAGAAAAAAACCCAAAACCUGUUCUAUUUGUGUGUGAGUAUUAAAACCUCUAAAUAUGUUAAAAGAGCAUAAAAGCAAUUUGUUCACCAGGCCAAUUUUUUCCCUCAAACCUUAACAUCUUUGCAUAGCCAAUUGCAUCUUAAUCUUACCACAGUCGAGCUUUUGCCAUUUCCCCAGAAGCUUGAUAACUAUUGGCACUAGGGUCUGGUUCUCAGGCUCAGGGCAGACAGACGCACCGCUGCCCAGCACACACACAGAGCUGAUGGCAGUAAUGAGAUAAUGACUUGAUAACACGCAUAUGCUCCUCGCUCCCUGAAUGCGAGCUUGGGCAAGUAUCAGUUAUGACAGAUUUGGCCCUUUAUCCAAGUCGGCCUAAACCAAGCCAGAUAUCACUGGCAAUUUUCUCCGAUGAGUAAGAUCGUUCUUACGAAGCCGCUAACUUCUGACUUCGAAAUCAUUAUUUCAAAAACAGUGUAUUUCUGCUUACAUAUUUGGUGGCAACUCUCAGUGAAAUGGCAAAACCUUUGAAGAUGCUCUUGCUAACUUGGAAGCUGGACAGUAAUCAGACAAAAUAAAAAAUGUGGUCAUAAAAAAUAUAGUUUAGAGAAGGCAACUAAGAAGUUUAUUUUACUGGGGAGAAAAGAUGAUAGUUGAUAAAAUUCUGAUUGACAGAGUAUUGCUACUACUGUGUGAGAAAGUAAGGUCACGGAGCCCCUGGGUGGCGCACUUGAUUAAGCGUCUGACCCUUGAUUUCAGCUCAGCUCAUGAUCUCACGGCUGUGAGACUGAGCCCUGCGUCA